rnacentral:rRNA from 1 species
AGUGAACGCUGGCGGUAGGCCUAACACAUGCAAGUCGAACGGCAGCACAGUAAGAGCUUGCUCUUACGGGUGGCGAGUGGCGGACGGGUGAGGAAUACAUCGGAAUCUACUUUUUCGUGGGGGAUAACGUAGGGAAACUUACGCUAAUACCGCAUACGACCUACGGGUGAAAGCAGGGGAUCUUCGGACCUUGCGCGAUUGAAUGAGCCGAUGUCGGAUUAGCUAGUUGGCGGGGUAAAGGCCCACCAAGGCGACGAUCCGUAGCUGGUCUGAGAGGAUGAUCAGCCACACUGGAACUGAGACACGGUCCAGACUCCUACGGGAGGCAGCAGUGUGGAAUACUGGACAAUGGGCGCAAGCCUGGUCCAGCCAUACCGCGUGGGUGAAGAAGGCCUUCGGGUUGUAAAGCCCUUUUGUUGGGAAAGAAAAGCAGCAGGUUAAUACCCCGCUGUUCUGACGGUACCCAAAGAAUAAGCACCGGCUAACUUCGUG